rnacentral:lncRNA from 1 species
CCCUCCCAGCCAUCCAGCCUUUGAGGGAGCUUCUAGGAUCUGACCUGUUGGGAUGGAUCACUCGCUGGACCUCCAUGUAUCCUGUAAGGUCCCUUCAGCCCCUUUCCUCCAGGCAGUACUUUUGGACCCACAGCACCCAGCUGCUCAAGGAUCUUCCAAAUGCAAGGUAGAAGAUAGGGGUCUGAGAAGUCCGGUCACCGGCUCAUAACGGCUGCUGUUUGCUAGGGCACUGCCGCAGACCGGACGCUCUGAUUUCAGGUUGGUUACUUCCUCUUCUUUCUUUCUUUUUUAAAAGAAAUCCUCUUCUCUUUUACCUAUGCUUUUCUGCCUUCCUUCAUCGAAAACAAUUCAUAAAUCAUAUUGUCUAUGAAGCUGUCUCAUCGCUGAGAAAAGGAAGUAAUGACAGCCUCCUGUAUUUCCUGUCUUCUCACUUCCCUCCCCCUUCGCCGGCACCCAGCCACCCCCACCAAGGAAGGGAACCUAACGCUUGACUCCCUUUGUUCUUCUCCACCAAAAAAAUACCUGUAAAAAGGACUGCUUAUAAAUGAGCAAAAUGUACAGGUGUGCCUUACAGUAUGGAAUAAAAAUGUUCUUGCAAACUGUGCA